UCGCGAAUCAUUCACAAUGGACGCAAGUCUGAUGAUGCCACGCCGCGUGCGGGAUGAAGGCCCUUUGGGUUGUAAACCGCUGUCAAGGGAGGGGAAACACCUAGCGUUAACAGCGCUAGGCUUGACUGCUCCCUAAAGGAAGCCCCGGCAAAACAUGUGCCAGCAGCCGCGGUAAUACAUGUGGGGCAAGCGUUGUUCGGAAUUACUGGGCAUAAAGGGUGCGUAGGCGGUUUGUUAAGUCACUGGUGAAAGUUUGCGGCCCAACCGUAAAAUUGCCUGUGAUACUGGCGAACUUGAGUGCGUGAGGGGUAGGGGGAACGAGCAGUGUAGCGGUGAAAUGCGUAGAUAUUGCUCGGAAGGCCGGAGCCGAAGGGGCCCUACUGGUACGUAACUGACGCUCAUGCACGAAAGCGUGGGGAGCAAACAGGAUUAGAUACCCCCGUAGUCCCUGAGCGGGCUGGCAAGGCGCAU
rnacentral:rRNA from 1 species